rnacentral:lncRNA from 1 species
AUGUCAUCCCCAACUGGGCCUGCAAAACAUUGUGCUGGAGGGUCANNNNNNNNNNNNNNNNNNNNNNNNNNNNNNNNNNNNNNNNNNNNNNNNNNNNNNNNNNNNNNNNNNNNNNNNNNNNNNNNNNNNNNNNNNNNNNNNNNNNNNNNNNNNNNNNNNNNNNNNNNNNNNNNNNNNNNNNNNNNNGCUCUCUUCACCGCGCCGAUCCGUCCGCCAACGCUGCGGCGCGAGGGAGCGCAGCUCGGCGGCCCAGUCCCUGGCCGGCUCGGCCCGCGCACCGCCGUCUCCCGCUCGGAACAGCACCUUCGACUACGCCGACCGGAGGUCGCGCCGGGCGGGCGGGGCCCGGGGGCGGGUCAUGGGCCGAGGGGGGGCGGCGGCGGAAGCCCGGACUCAGAGAAGCAUCGAGAACCGGAAGAAGGUCCCUUUCUAACUACCUACAAGACAUCUAACUUACCUACCUACAACAAGGACACUGAGAAGUUGGCUAUUUGCAAUCCAAGGAGAGUCCCUCACAACACCAACCAUGCUGGCACUUUGAUAUUGGACUUUCCAGACUCUAGAAUUAGGUGUCAACAAACAGUUACCCCAGUAUUACUGAAGUGGUCGAGUAUUGCUAUGUUCUUGCUGACAGAAAUCUAAGUGGAAUACUCUAGGUGCUCAAUAUGAAUUACUGGUGUUGGUUGGUGCAGGUUUCCCAGGCAUGACACCACGUUCUUGCACGUCUGGAUAACAGGACCGGGAGGAAGACAGGAGAGGAAAGAGCUAUCUAACCUUCCUCAGGGGACACAGGAAUGCUUGCCCAAAUCCUCUUGGGGUUCAUACAUACUGAGUUUGACAGAUGCAACACUGUCUAUUAUGGGAAUGAUGAAGCAAAUAUUUCAGUCAACUAAUGCAAUAAAAAUAACAAACAUAAUUUAGUGGAAAUGAUGUAUCUUCAAAAAUUGUUUUUAAAAUUUUUAUUGGUACAUGUUUGCAGUAAAUAAUGAUGACAAUUGUGUGGAGUUGGUACACGUUUAUAACACAUCUUAGUGCCCCUUUUCAUCCCCUUCCCCUUGCCUCCUUUCACACCUCCUUCUAUCUCUUGAUUCUCUUCCCUUUUGUGAAAGAUCUAUUUACUAAUAUCUAUCUUUUAUUUUGCUCUUUAUUUAUAUUUUUGGUUUCUCAUAUAAGAGAAACCAUGUGAUAUUUAAGUUUGUGUAUUAUCUCACUUAGCAAUGUGAUCUCAAGGUGCAUUCAUUUUCCUACAAGUGACUGAAGUUUAUCCUUUAUGGCAGAGUAGUACUUCUUUAUGUAUAAAUAUCACAUUUUCUUUAUCCAUUCAUCUGUUGAUGGACAUAUAGGCCACUUCUAAGAUUUAGCAAUUAUGAGUUGUGCUGCUGUGAACAUGGGUAUGCAGGGAUCACUGUACUAUGAUGCUGUUAACACUUUCUGGAAAAUACAUAUGAGAGAAAUAGCUAGGUUAAAUGGAAUUUCUAGUUUCAGUUUUUGAGGAAUUUCUACACUGAUUUCCAUAGUUGUUGUACUAGUUUAUAUUCCCACCAACAAUGUAGAAGGCUUCCUUUUUCCCCUCAGCCUUGCUAGUAUUUGUCAUUAUUUGAUUCUUGAUGGUAGUUGUUCUUUCUGGAGUAAGAUGGAAUCUCAGUGUUUUAAUUUGCAUGUCUUUAAUGGCCAGAUAUGUUGAGAGUUUUUUCAUGUACUUAUUGCCCAUUUGUACAUCUUCUGAGAAGUGUCUAUACAUUUCAGUCACUUAUUAUUGGAUUGGGAAUUUUAUUUUGGGGAUCUAAUUUUUAUGAGUUUUAAAAAUGUAUUCUAGACAGUCUGUCCAAGGAAUUGUUGGCAAAAUUUUACUUCCAUUCUGUUGGUUUUCUUCAUUUGGUUGGGUGUUUCCUUUGCUGUGCAGAAGCUUUUUAAUGUGAUAUAAUUCAUUUGUUGAUUAUUGGUACUAUUUCUGAUAUAAUUGGGAUUCUGUUCAGAAAGUCCUUGCCUACAUUUAUGUCUCUAAGAGUUUAACCUAUUUUAUCUUCAAGAAGAUUAGAUGUUUCUUCUUUAACAUUUAAAUCUUUGAUCCAUUUUGAUUUUACUUUAGUCUGUGGUGAGAAAUAUGGGUCUAAACUCAAUCUUCUGCAUGUAUAUAACUAGUUUUCACAACAUCAUUUGUUAAUGAGGCUAUUUUUCCUCCAGUGUAUGAUUUUGGCUCCUUUGUCAAAGAUCAAAUAGUUGAAUGUACUUGCGGUUGUUUUUGCUUCCUCUAGUCUGUUCUUUUGAUCCAAAUGUCUGUUUUUGUGCUAAUAUCAUGCUGUUUUUAAUCAUGUAGCUUUGUGAUAUAUUUGAAGUUCAGGACUGUAUGCCUUCUGUUUUGUUCUUGUUGUCCUGGAGUACUUUUGCUUUUCUGGGCCUCUUCUAGUUCCAUAUGAAUUUUAGGACUGUUUUCCAUAGUUGUGUGAAGAAUGCUAUAUGUAUUUUGAAUGAGAUUGUGUUAAAUCUGGAUAUCAGUUUUUAAAAUAUAGCCAUUUUGACUAUAUUGGUUCUGCCUAUCCAAAAAUAGGGCAUACCUUUCUAUUUUCUGAUGUCCUUUUUGAUCUCUUUUUCAGAGUACUGCACUUUUCAUUGUAGAGAUCUCUUGCUUCCUUGGUUUGGUUAAUUCUUCAAUAUUUCAUUUUUUUGAUGCUAUUGUGAAUGAUAUUCAUUUCUUAAUUUCUUUCUUGGUAAUUUAAAUCAUUGGUAUACAGGAACACUACUAAUUUUUGUGUGUUGACUUUGUAUAAUGCUAUACUACUUAUUUUGAUUAUUAAUUCUAGAAUUCUUUCAGUGGAAUUAUUUGGAUCUUCUAUAUAGAGGAUCAUGUCAUUUGAUAAUUUGACUUCUUUCUUUCUUAGACAUAUCCCUUUUAUUUCUUUCUCUUACCUGAUUGCUCUGGCUAAUAUUUCAAGAGCUCUACUGAACAAUAGUGGUGAUAGCAGGCAUCCUUGUCUUGUUCCUAAUUUUAGAGGGAAACUUUCAGCUUUUCCUUCAUUAAUAUGAUGUUGGCCAUUGGUUUGUCAUGACUUGCUUUUAUUAGGUUGACAUAAGGUUCUUCUCUACCUAUUUUCCUCAGGGAUUUUAUCAUGAAUGAAUGUUAAAUUUUGUCAAAGGCUUUUUCUGCAUCCAUUGAGAUGAUCAUGUGAUUUUUGUCCUUGGUUCUGUUUAUGUAAUGUAUUUCAUUUAUUGAUUUGCAUAUGUUGAACAUCCCAGAAUUCCUGGGAUGAAACCUUCAGGGUCUUCAUGUGUGAUCUUUUUGAUGAUUUGUUGCAUCCUGUUUGCCAGGUUUUAAUUUCUUUUUCUUGUUGUUUUUUGAGACAGGGUAUUGCUAUAUAGUUCAGGCUGGUCUUGAACUUACUGUGUAGCUCAGGUUGGCCUUGAACUUAUAGCUAUCCUCCUGUCUCAGCCUGCUGAGUGCUGGGAUUACCAGUGUGUGCCACCACACCUGGGUUGUCAGAAUCUUGUUGAGAAUUUUUGCAUCAAUAGUCAUUAAGGAAAUUAGCUUGUGGUUCCCUUUUUUGGUUAGGUCAUUUUCUGGUUUUGGAAUCACGGUAACACUAGCUUCCAGAAAUCACUUUGGUAGCACUCCUCCCCUUUUUGAUAUCGUUAAUUUCAUGAGUCUGGUAUUAGAUUUUCCCUGAAGUUCUUCUAGAUGUCAGUGAUGAAUUCAUCAGGUUCUGGCCUUUUCUUAGUUGCUAGGAUUUUUAUUACUGCUUCAAUCUCACUGAAUGACACUGGAUUAUUUAAGGUUUUUAUAUGUUCUUGGUUCAGUUUUGAUAAUUCACACAUAUCCAAGAAUCUAUUCAUUUUUUUCUAGAUUCUCCAAUUUCUUGGAGUGCAGGUUUUCAAAGAAGUUACUAAUGAUAUGGAUUUCAGCAGUGUCAGUUGCAAUUCCACAUUUUUCAUUUCUAAUUGCAUUGAUUUGGGUCUUUUCAUUUUGAUAAGAUUGAUUAUAGGUUUGACUGUUUUUUUGUGUGUGUGUGUAUGGUGGGGAUGAUUCUUUUUUUUUCCCCUAUUAAGUUUAUUGGUACAUUUUCAGUAUAAAAUACAGUUACAUUCAUCAUUGGGAUCUUGUACCAUUACAUGAGUCUCGUGGUUCUUAUUUUUUUCCCCUUCCCUUGCCCUCCCUUCACCCCCUCCACACUUCCCUAUUUGCAAAGACC